rnacentral:rRNA from 1 species
GUGGGGAAUAUUGGACAAUGGGCGCAAGCCUGAUCCAGCCAUGCCGCGUGAGUGAUGAAGGCCCUAGGGUUGUAAAGCUCUUUCACCGGUGAAGAUAAUGACGGUAACCGGAGAAGAAGCCCCGGCUAACUUCGUGCCAGCAGCCGCGGUAAUACGAAGGGGGCUAGCGUUGUUCGGAAUUACUGGGCGUAAAGCGCACGUAGGCGGACAUUUAAGUCAGGGGUGAAAUCCCGGGGCUCAGCCCCGGAACUGCCUUUGAUACUGGGUGUCUGGAGUAUGGAAGAGGUAAGUGGAAUUCCGAGUGUAGAGGUGAAAUUCGUAGAUAUUCGGAGGAACACCAGUGGCGAAGGCGGCUUACUGGUCCAUUACUGACGCUGAGGUGCGAAAGCGUGGGGAGCAAACAGGAUUAGAUACCCGGGUAGUCC